GGUUUCUUGUUUAUUAUAAGAGAUUUAACCUGCCCACUGAAAUUUAUUUAAAGGGCCGCAGUAUUUUGACUGUGCAAAGGUAGCAUAAUCAUUAGUCUUUUAAUUAAGGGCUUGUAUGAAUGGUUGGACGAGGUAAUAUCUAUUCUAUUAGUAUUUAAAUUUGAAUUUAAAUUUUAAGUAAAAAUGCUUAAAUAAUAAUAAGGGACGAGAAGACCCUAUAGAGUUUAAUAUAUUAAAUUUUAAUUGAGUUAGUAUAUAAUUUUAGAUUAUUUUUGAUUAUAUUUAAUUGGGGUGAUUAAAAGAUAUUUGGAACUCUUUUUUAUUUUUAAUAUUUAUGAUUAGUUUUUUGAUCCAUUAAUGAUGAUUAUAAGAUUAAAUUACCUUAGGGAUAACAGCAUAAUUUCUUUUGAGAGUUCAAAUCGAGAAGGAAGAUUGUGACCUCGAUGUUGGAUUAAGAUAAAUUUUGGGUGUAGAUGUUCAAAUAUUAGGUCUGUUCGACCUUUAAAUUCUUACA
rnacentral:rRNA from 1 species